rnacentral:rRNA from 1 species
CGGACGGGUGAGUAAUGUCUGGGAAACUGCCUGAUGGAGGGGGAUAACUACUGGAAACGGUAGCUAAUACCGCAUAACGUCGCAAGACCAAAGAGGGGACCUUCGGGCCUCUUGCCAUCGGAUGUGCCCAGAUGGGAUUAGCUAGUAGGUGGGGUAACGGCUCACCUAGGCGACGAUCCCUAGCUGGUCUGAGAGGAUGACCAGCCACACUGGGACUGAGACACGGCCCAG